rnacentral:rRNA from 1 species
AGUGAACGCUGGCGGUAGGCCUAACACAUGCAAGUCGAACGGCAGCACAGGAGAGCUUGCUCUCUGGGUGGCGAGUGGCGGACGGGGGAGGAAUACAUCGGAAUCUACCCUUUCGUGGGGGAUAACGUAGGGAAACUUACGCUAAUACCGCAUACGACCUACGGGUGAAAGCAGGGGAUCUUCGGACCUUGCGCGAAAGAAUGAGCCGAUGUCGGAUUAGCUAGUUGGUGGGGUAAUGGCCCACGAAGGCGACGAUCCGUAGCUGGUAUGAGAGGAUGAUCAGCCACACUGGAACUGAGACACGGUCCAGACUCCUACGGGAGGCAGCAGUGGGGAAUAUUGGACAAUGGGCGCAAGCCUGAUCCAGCCAUACCGCGUGGGUGAAGAAGGCCUUCGGGUUGUAAAGCCCUUUUGUUGGGAAAGAAAUCCAGCUGGCUAAUACCCGGUUGGGAUGACGGUACCCAAAGAAUAAGCACCGGCUAACUUCGUGCCAGCAGCCGCGGUAA